AUGUUCGCGAGCAGGCCGGCGGUGCACCCGGUGGAGGCGCCGCCGCCGACGGAUCCGGUGGAGCAGCCCACGGGGGUGCUCAUGAAGGACCUGCCCGGGAUGCCCGGCACGGCCGGCGGCCUCGCGCUCCGCCUCGCGCAGUUCGCCUUCGCCGGAGUCGCCCUCGGCGUCAUGGCCUCCACCAACGACUUCCCCUCCGUCAGCGCCUUCUGCUAUCUUGUUGCAGCAACCAUAUUGCAAUGCCUAUGGAGCUUCUCGCUUGGGAUUGUUGAUAUCUAUGCAUUGCUUGUUAAGCGUUGUCUAAGGAACCGCCGCGCUGUUUGCCUGUUCGCAAUUGGAGAUGGGAUCACGGCAGCACUCAUCUUCGGCGCAGCAUGCUCGUCGGCAGGCAUCACGGUCCUGAUCGACAACGACCUGAACAUCUGUGCCGAGAACCACUGUGGCAGCUUCGAGACCGCGACGGCGAUGGCAUUCAUGAGCUGGUUUGCUCUCACGCCCUCCUUCCUGCUGAACUUCUGGUCGAUGGCUUCCCGAUGA
rnacentral:rRNA from 1 species